AGAUUGAACGCUGGCGGAAUGCUUUACACAUGCAAGUCGAACGGCAGCACGGGGGUAACCCUGGUGGCGAGUGGCGAACGGGUGAGUAAUACAUCGGAACGUGCCCAGUCGUGGGGGAUAACGUAGCGAAAGCUACGCUAAUACCGCAUACGAACUCUGGUUGAAAGCGGGGGACUCGCAAGAGCCUCGCGCGAUUGGAGCGGCCGAUGGCAGAUUAGGUAGUUGGUGGGUAAAGGCUCACCAAGCCUGCGAUCUGUAGCUGGUCUGAGAGGACGACCAGCCACACUGGGACUGAGACACGGCCCAGACUCCUACGGGAGGCAGCAGUGGGGAAUUUUGGACAAUGGGCGCAAGCCUGAUCCAGCCAUUCCGCGUGCAGGAUGAAGGCCUUAGGUUGUAAAGCUCUUUACCCAAGAUGAUAAUGACAGUAUCGGAGAAUAAGCCCGGCUAACUCCGUGCCGGCAGCCGCGGU
rnacentral:rRNA from 1 species